GUCUAGCCUGCUCACUGACAAAAAGUGUUAAAUAGCCGCGGUAUUUUGACCGUGCAAAGGUAGCAUAAUCAUUAGUUUUUUAAUUGGAAACUUGUAUGAAUGGUUGGACAAAGAAAAGACUGUCUCUUUUAUUAAAAUUGAAAUUAACUUCUAAGUGAAAAGGCUUAGAUUUUCUAGAGGGACGAUAAGACCCUAUAAAGCUUCAUAAGUUAAAUAAAUUAGAUGGAUUUUUAGAAUAAAAGUAAAUUUAGUAAGCUUAUUUAGUUGGGGCGACAAGGGUAUAAAAUUAAAUAACUGCUAUUAAGGUUAGACAAUUAUAUUUGGUUGGAUUGUAAUUGAUCCUCGCUAUGGAUUAAAAGAUUAAGUUACUUUAGGGAUAACAGCGUAAUUUCUUUUAAGAGUUCUUAUCAAAGGAGAAGUUUGCGACCUCGAUGUUGAAUUAAAAUGUCUUUAUAGUGCAGAAGCUAUAAAAGAAGGUCUGUUCGACCUUUAAUUUUUUACAUGAUUUGAGU
rnacentral:rRNA from 1 species